UGGGGAAUAUUGCACAAUGGGGGAAACCCUGAUGCAGCAACGCCGCGUGAGUGAUGACGGCCUUCGGGUUGUAAAGCUCUGUCUUCAGGGACGAUAAUGACGGUACCUGAGGAGGAAGCCACGGCUAACUACGUGCCAGCAGCCGCGGUAAAACGUAGGAGGCGAGCGUUAUCCGGAUUUACUGGGUGUAAAGGGCGCGCAGGCGGGAUAAAAAGUCAGUGGUGAAAUCCUACAGCUUAACUGUAGAACUGCCUUUGAUACUUUUAUUCUUGAGUUCGGGAGAGAGAGACGGAAUUCCAGGUGUAGUGGUGAAAUACGUAGAUAUCUGGAAGAACACCAGUUGCGAAGGCGGUCUCUUGGUCCGACACUGACGCUGAGGCGCGAAAGCGUGGGGAGCAAACA
rnacentral:rRNA from 1 species